UAUGCCGGUGUAGCUCAAUUGGUAGAGCAACUGACUUGUAAUCAGUAGGUUGGGGGUUCAAGUCCUCUUGCCG
rnacentral:tRNA from 1 species